CAGAGUUCAUGCCCUUACGGGUAGAUCUCCCACCCUUGAAUAUUUUAUACCUUUGUUGCUUUGGCGGGCCGCUUCGGCUACCGGCUUCGGCUGGUGAGUGCCCGCCAGAGGACCCCAAACUCUGAAUUAAAGUAUUGUCUGAGUACUAUAUAAUAGUUA
rnacentral:misc_RNA from 1 species